rnacentral:rRNA from 1 species
AGAAACUAACAAGGAUUCCCCUAGUAACUGCGAGUGAAGCGGGAAAAGCUCAAAUUUAAAAUCCCUUCUGGGAGUUGUAAUCUAGAGACGUGUUUUCGGUCGUUGCCUCGGACAAGUCCCUUGGAAUAGGGCGUCAUAGAGGGUGAGAAUCCCGUACUUGCCGAGCUCCCAAUGACUAUGUGAUACACGUUCGAAGAGUCGAGUUGUUUGGGAAUGCAGCUCAAAAUGGGUGGUAAACUCCAUCUAAAGCUAAAUAUUGGCGAGAGACCGAUAGCGAACAAGUACCGUGAGGGAAAGAUGAAAAGCACUUUGGAAAGAGAGUUAAACAGUACGUGAAAUUGUUGAAAGGGAAGCGCUUGAAGUCAGUCGCGUUGCAGGGACUCAGCCGUCAAGGUGCAUUUCUCUGCAACGGGUCAACAUCAAUUUCGGCCGCGGGAAAAGGGCUUGGGGAAUGUGGCAGCUUCGGCUGUGUUAUAGCCUCUUGUCGUACACCGCGGCCGGGAUUGAGGACUGCUAUUACAGGAUGUUGACAAAAUGGCUUUAAGCGACCC